AGACUGUCAUCGGACUUGCGUAGUGGU
rnacentral:sRNA from 1 species